rnacentral:rRNA from 1 species
GGGGGGGGGGGGGGGGGGGGGGGGGGGGGGGGGGGGGGGGGGGGGGGGGGGGGGCGGGCUCGUCGGGGGGUAGCGGCGGACGGGGGAGUAACACGUGGAUAACCUACCUAUAAGACUGGGAUAACUUCGGGAAACCGGAGCUAAGACCGGAUAAUAUAUUGAACCGCAUGGUUCAAUAGUGGAAGACGGUUUUGCUGUCACUUAUAGAUGGAUCCGCGCCGCAUUAGCUAGUUGGUAAGGUAACGGCUUACCAAGGCAACGAUGCGUAGCCGACCUGAGAGGGUGAUCGGCCACACUGGAACUGAGACACGGUCCAGACUCCUACGGGAGGCAGCAGUAGGGAAUCUUCCGCAAUGGGCGAAAGCUUGACGGAGCAACGCCGCGUGAGUGAUGAAGGUCUUCGGAUCGUAAAACUCUGUUAUUAGGGAAGAACAAAUGUGUAAGUAACUAUGCACGUCUUGACGGUACCUAAUCAGAAAGCCACGGCUAACUACGUG